GAAAAUGUAUCUUUAACUUGACAUCUUACAGCUCUUAUACACACAACUUGUUAAGAAAAAUCAAAAACUGUAGGUAUAUCUUUGUGUAUCAAGGCGUACCAGGAAAAAUGAGUUGGGAACCACAGAGUCGAAGAAAAUCAACAAAAAAGCAUAACUAACUCUAAAGUAGGAAAUAAAUAACAACAAAUUUGUUAAAACCAUACAACAUAGUCAACGAUGAAACAAGGUGGAUAAAAUUAGUUUUGCUUUGUAGUCUAAACAUAAACCCAGGUAUGGUCUUUUCAGCUGUACAGAAAACCUCGUUCCUUUCAAAGCCAUUAAAAGCUGACCAUCAGGUGGUAGACAUUUCAAUAGCUAGCUAGUUUAAAAAUGUGUGGCGCAGCUUAGCUAGCUUACACUAUAUGUGUUUCUGACCAGAUGUUGGCACUUACCUGAAGAUAGUGACCGUGCUGUAUUUUCACAGGGCUGCCGAGUGGAUAAUGUGGCCCUGGCGGCUCUUUUUAUGCUGUUGCUACAUGUACGGACUUGUGCUUGGUGUGCUGUGAAUCAUUGUAUUGUGAAGCAUCUUGUAACUUGCAGUUAGUUUAUUUGACAUUGACCAGUCAAAUGCCUGUGAUUAGCCUGUACAUAUACUCAACCUGAGGUUCUGUGUUUACCAGAAAACCCUGUUGUUGACUGUAACUAGUCCAUGUUUAGAGCCGGGUGGUGAAGGAGCUGUGUAAAGCCUGUAAGCUGUGAUGUAGGCCUACGUUAGCUGUGUUGUACAAUCAGCAAAAUAUGCUGAAUCAUGGUUGAGUAUUAAAACAUUAUCUUGCUGAGAAAAAGUC